rnacentral:lncRNA from 1 species
CAGGGAAAAUGGAGGCGGGGGUGUGAAAGAAAGAGAGGAAGAAAGAAAGAACAAGGGGGGGGCCUGGAGGGGCUUAAAGGCAGGCCCCAUCCCAGCAGCCCUCCCACCCCCCGCGUCUCCAUCGCCAGCCCCAAGCCGGAACGCAUUUGAGCAGAGCUGCCCCGGCUCUAUCAUCUGCAGCGUGCAGAGUCAUCACGGCCGCAGUGCAUAGCUGAGAGCCGGAAAGCAAACAGCUGCUGUAGCCUGAUUUGAGUUAAAAUAGUGUCAGUGUUUAGUCUGGCGCACUGCUUCAGGAGAGAUUGGCAGCUGGGUCAAACAAAGUCAUUCCAUUGGCUCCCUUCCCAGCCAGCUUCUGCUAGUAUUUAGGUACUAGUGCAGCCUAGGCCCCUUUUCUCAGGGAUAGCCUAACAUCUGACCGCACCCUCCUUGCUGUUUAAAAAAUGCCUUUUCACUCUUUAAGAUAAAUCCACUAUUAGACAAUCUGCCACUAAUAGUGCAGUAAGGCUGUUUUUCUCCCAAAAGCCGACGCAUCCCGCUCCCGCCGCGGUGCAGAAAGCAGGCUGUUACAGUGCCGGAUUCAUAAAAGGGGCCUUUAUGGCUGGUGAAAGAAUAUCUGUGUGCUUAGGCCGGAAACUUUUUGAUCCAGUGCAAAGCCAGACGACACCUAGAUUUCUUUUACAAUACAUUCUCCUCAAGCCUGUGAAUUUUUCUUUAACUGACCAGGUAAGCAAAUUUACAUACUCAUAGAAUUUUUUUGUAAAUAUGUUUUCCAGACAGUAGGCAAUUCAUUCUGAGACUGGUGUUGGUUUGUUGGACAAAAUCUGCAAAAUCUAUUAUAAAAAAAGUUUAAAAUGCUGUUUUCAGUUUCCAAUUAAAAAAAAAAAAAGUCGAAAUCUCCCAAAUUCUUUAAAUUUCAGUUAGAAACUCAGUUUAUUUUCAAGAUAUGCUUAAUUUUAUUAUUUCUCUCCAUUCUUCUUUUUUCUUGUCGUCUUAGUUUCUUCACCCUUUCUGUUGAUAUUUACAAUUUACAAAUGGAAUUUUUUUUGCUGGGUCAGUCUCUCUCUGCCUGGCUGGGUAUCAGCAUUGCAGACAGGAUUGUCUGUUGAGAACUCAAGAUAAUGUUUUGUCAACACAGGCAGGAAUGGAACAGCAACAGUAGAGUGGCUGGUGGAAAGUGGAAGUGACUUUGGAAAUUUAUGAAUGCCAUUUCUGUAGAGCAGAAA